rnacentral:piRNA from 1 species
UGGGACAAAGGUGAACAUGAACAAGGA